rnacentral:rRNA from 1 species
UACGUAGGGUGCAAGCGUUGUCCGGAAUUAUUGGGCGUAAAGAGCUCGUAGGCGGUCUGUCGCGUUGUUCGUGAAAACUCACAGCUCAACUGUGGGCGUGCGGGCGAUACGGGCAGACUAGAGUACUGCAGGGGAGACUGGAAUUCCUGGUGUAGCGGUGGAAUGCGCAGAUAUCAGGAGGAACACCAAUGGCGAAGGCAGAUCUCUGGGCCGUAACUGACGCUGAGGAGCGAAAGCAUGGGGAGCGAACAGG